GGUCUUCAAGACAUGUGCACACCUCUGAAUUCAUUUCACACCUGUGCACUACAUGUAGGCUGGCGAUGUUAUAAUCGUUGGUUUAUGUUUUCAAUACACUCUUUUAUACAAGUUUAGGAUGAUAUUUAUUUUAAAAAAUAAAUUACAACUUUCAACAACGGAUCUCUUGGCUCUUGCAUCGAUGAAGAACGCAGCGAAAUGCGAUAAGUAAUGUGAAUUGCAGAAUUCAGUGAAUCAUCGAAUCUUUGAACGCACCUUGCGCUCCUUGGUAUUCCGAGGAGCAUGCCUGUUUGAGUGUCAUUAAAUUCUCAAAUCCUCCUUCAAUAUUUUGAAAGAGGGCUUUGGAUUUUUGGAGGCUUGCUGGCUGUCUUUACGCCGGCUUCUCUUAAAUGCAUUAGCUUGAUCAUUUUUUUGUGGAUAAGCUUUGGUUUGAUAAAAUUUUAUAUCUAUGCCAUCGCUGUGAAACAAUCAUCAGCUUCUAAUAAAAGUCUCCCAGGGGACAAAAACCUUGACAUUUGACCUCAAAUCAGGUAGGACUACCCGCUGAACUUAAGCAUAUC
rnacentral:rRNA from 1 species